GGGUUGUGAGGUUAAGCGAAUAAGCGUACACGGUGGAUGCCUAGGCAAUCAGAGGCGAUGAAGGACGUGCUAAUCUGCGAUAAGCGUCGGUAAGGUGAUAUGAACCGUUAUACCCGACGAUUUCCGAAUGGGGAAACCCAAUAUCCAAUGGAUAUUAUCAUUAACUGAAUACAUAGGUUAAUGAAGCGAACCGGGAGAACUGAAACAUCUCAGUACCCCGAGGAAAAGAAAUCAACCGAGAUUCCCCUAGUAGCGGCGAGCGAACGGGGAACAGCCCAGAGUCUUAAUCAAUAGCAGCAUCAGGAGAACGGUCUGGAAAGUCCGGCAGUAAAGGGUGAUAGCCCCGUAUCCGAAGAUGCUGUUAUUGUGAGCUCGACGAGUAGGGCGGGACACGUGUUAUCCUGUCUGAAUAUGGGGGGACCAUCCUCCAAGGCUAAAUACUCCUGAUUGACCGAUAGUGAACCAGUACCGUGAGGGAAAGGCGAAAAGAACCCCGGCGAGGGGAGUGAAAAAGAACCUGAAACCGUGUACGUACAAGCAGUAGGAGCCCCAUCACUCAAGUGCCUCGCACUGAGUGAUUGGACAAACCACUCGAAAACAGCGCAGCAUUUACCUACAAAGUGGAUUGAUUUUUUCAAGCCGUCGCGCAGUGUACAUAGAAGUACACGAGCAACGGAAGUUAAAAAAUCGAGCCAGUUUGACAGUAAAAGCAAGCGGGACAUUUGAGGAUGGGGUGACUGCGUACCUUUUGUAUAAUGGGUCAGCGACUUAUAUUCUGUAGCGAGGUUAACCGUAUAGGGGAGCCGUAGGGAAACCGAGUCUUAACUGGGCGAAUGAGUUGCAGGGUAUAGACCCGAAACCCGGUGAUCUAUCCAUGGGCAGGUUGAAGGUUGGGUAACACUAACUGGAGGACCGAACCGACUAAUGUUGAAAAAUUAGCGGAUGACUUGUGGAUGGGGGUGAAAGGCCAAUCAAACCGGGAGAUAGCUGGUUCUCCCCGAAAGCUAUUUAGGUAGCGCCUCGUGAAUUCAUCUUCGGGGGUAGAGCACUGUUUCGACUAGGGGGUCAUCCCGACUUACCAACUCGAUGCAAACUGCGAAUACCGAAGAAUGUUAUCACGGGAGACACACGGCGGGUGCUAACGUCCGUCGUGAAGAGGGAAACAACCCAGACCGCCAGCUAAGGUCCCAAAGUCAUGGUUAAGUGGGAAACGAAGUGGGAAGGCUCAGACAGCCAGGAUGUUGGCUUAGAAGCAGCCAUCAUUUAAAGAAAGCGUAAUAGCUCACUGGUCGAGUCGGCCCGCGCGGAAGAUGUAACGGGGCUAAACCAUGCACCGAAGCUGCGGCAGCGACACUAAGUGUUGUUGGGUAGGGGAGCGUUCUGUAAGCCUGCGAAGGUGUACUGUGAGGUAUGCUGGAGGUAUCAGAAGUGCGAAUGCUGACAUAAGUAACGAUAAUGCGGGUGAAAAACCCGCACGCCGGAAGACCAAGGGUUCCUGUCCAACGUUAAUCGGGGCAGGGUGAGUCGACCCCUAAGGCGAGGCUGAAAAGCGUAGUCGAUGGGAAACGGGUUAAUAUUCCCGUACUGGUGGUAACUGCGAUGGGGGAACGGAGAAGGCUAGGUUGUCCGGGCGACGGUCGUCCCGGUUCAAGCAUGUAGGCAGAGUGAUUAGGCAAAUCCGGUCACUUAAUGCUGAGGUGUGAUGACGAACCACUAAGGUGGUGAAGCAAUUGAUGCCCUGCUUCCAGGAAAAGCCUCUAAGCUUCAGGUUACCAACAAUCGUACCCCAAACCGACACAGGUGGUCAGGUAGAGAAUACUCAGGCGCUUGAGAGAACUCGGGUGAAGGAACUAGGCAAAAUGGUGCCGUAACUUCGGGAGAAGGCACGCUGGCGGUAAGUGAAGUCCCUCGCGGACGGAGCCGAAGCCAGUCGAAGAUACCAGCUGGCUGCAACUGUUUAUUAAAAACACAGCACUGUGCAAACACGAAAGUGGACGUAUACGGUGUGACGCCUGCCCGGUGCUGGAAGGUUAAUUGAUGGGGUUAUCCUUAGGGAGAAGCUCUUGAUCGAAGCCCCAGUAAACGGCGGCCGUAACUAUAACGGUCCUAAGGUAGCGAAAUUCCUUGUCGGGUAAGUUCCGACCUGCACGAAUGGCGUAAUGAUGGCCAGGCUGUCUCCACCCGAGACUCAGUGAAAUUGAACUCGCUGUGAAGAUGCAGUGUACCCGCGGCAAGACGGAAAGACCCCGUGAACCUUUACUAUAGCUUGACACUGAACAUUGAGCCUUGAUGUGUAGGAUAGGUGGGAGACUAUGAAGUGUGGACGCCAGUCUGCAUGGAGUCAACCUUGAAAUACCACCCUUUAACGUUUGAUGUUCUAACCUAGGUCCAUAAUCUGGAUCGGGGACCGUGUCUGGUGGGUAGUUUGACUGGGGCGGUCUCCUCCUAAAGAGUAACGGAGGAGCACGAAGGUUGGCUAAGCAUGGUCGGACAUCAUGCGGUUAGUGCAAAGGCAUAAGCCAGCUUGACUGUGAGAGUGACGGCUCGAGCAGGUACGAAAGUAGGUCUUAGUGAUCCGGUGGUUCUGAAUGGAAGGGCCAUCGCUCAACGGAUAAAAGGUACUCCGGGGAUAACAGGCUGAUACCGCCCAAGAGUUCAUAUCGACGGCGGUGUUUGGCACCUCGAUGUCGGCUCAUCACAUCCUGGGGCUGAAGUAGGUCCCAAGGGUAUGGCUGUUCGCCAUUUAAAGUGGUACGCGAGCUGGGUUUAGAACGUCGUGAGACAGUUCGGUCCCUAUCUGCCGUGGGCGUUGGAAGAUUGAGAGGGGUUGCUCCUAGUACGAGAGGACCGGAGUGAACGCACCACUGGUGUUCGGGUUGUCAUGCCAAUGGCAUUGCCCGGUAGCUAAGUGCGGAAGAGAUAACCGCUGAAAGCAUCUAAGCGGGAAACUUGCCUCGAGAUGAGUCUUCCCUGUCACCUAGAGUGACCUAAAGGAACGUUUAAGACUAAGACGUUGAUAGGCUGGGUGUGUAAGCGUAGCGAUACGUUGAGCUAACCAGUACUAAUGAACCGUGAGGCUUAACCUGACAACACCGAAGGUGUUU
rnacentral:rRNA from 1 species